GAUGAAGAACGUAGCGAAAUGCGAUAAGUAGUGUGAAUUGCAGAAUUCAGUGAAUCAUCGAAUCUUUGAACGCACAUUGCGCCCCUUGGUAUCCCGAGGGGCAUGCCUGUUCGAGCGUCAUUUCACCGCUCAAGCCUGGCUUGGUGUUGGGCGACGUCCUCUUUGGGGACGCGCCUCGAAACGCUCGGCGGCGUGGCACCGGCUUUAAGCGUAGCAGAAUCUUUCGCUUUGGAAGUCGGGGCCCCGUCUGCCGGAAGACCUGCUCGCAAGGUUGACCUCGGAUCAGGCAGGGAUACCCGCUGAACUUAAGCAUAUCAAUAAGCGGAGGA
rnacentral:misc_RNA from 1 species